rnacentral:rRNA from 1 species
AUUGAACGCUGGCGGCAGGCUUAACACAUGCAAGUCGAGCGAGCGGCGGCCGGGUGAGUAAUGUCUGGGAAACUGCCUGAUGGAGGGGGAUAACUACUGGAAACGGUAGCUAAUACCGCAUACCAUCAGAUGUGCCCAGAUGGGAUUAGCUAGUAGGUGGGGUAAUGGCUCACCUAGGCGACGAUCCCUAGCUGGUCUGAGAGGAUGACCAGCCACACUGGAACUGAGACACGGUCCAGACUCCUACGGGAGGAAGCAGUGGGGAAUAUUGCACAAUGGGCGCAAGCCUGAUGCAGCCAUGCCGCGUGCGGCAAGAAGGCCGUCGGGUUGUAAAGUACUUUCCGCGAGGAGGCGUUAAUCGCAGAAGAAGAACUGGCUAACUCCGUGCCAGCAGCCGCGGUAAUUC